GUCCAUUUUGGGCCCAUCCAGGGAGGCUCUGUGAGGCUCAUCGUAGUUAUGACGGGAGCAGCCACAUUCCAGAACAUUCUGGAACGUCGCUUGCUGCCAUGCCUGGAAGAAAAUAAGAGCUUUGGAGGGUCUGGCACGCACAGUUAAAUGCUCUAGCCUGGGAAUGACGUGUCAGUUUCGCUCACAGCUCAUUGGUUACAGCUGGUCACAUGACCUCGUUCACACAAAGCAGGCAGGAAGUAAGUACAGUUAGUUCUACCUUGUGCCCAGAAAGGGGAGCGCAGGGAAUGAAUGCUCCGACAGCUAACAGGGUGCUGUGACAAUGAAGUGAGUCAGUGAGUGGAAACUCAUCUAGGGCAGCACCUGGCGCGAGUGCUGUUUUUGCAUCCCCAGUUUUGUGUUUUAACAGGAAGGGUGACCCCACUCAGGUGCCUCUUUGACACUGGUUGAGCAGGACCAAGAUGGAUCAGUGGCUGGAAGCCUGGAACAUAUGCGACAGGUGUGCGCCACGUGCGGGCCAGUCAUUGUUUAACCGUCUAGAACUCAAUGCAAAGAAGAACUGUCCAUGGCUGCAGCGGAACACAGAUCACAAAGCCCAUGCAGGCGCUGUGUGGCCCAGAGGUCUUGUCAACUCCAAGAAGUUCAAAACCAGCCCGUUCUUCCACCAAUGGGAGCGCCCCUUGGAGAAAUCUUUGUUUUCUCGCACAAGAUGAUGCACACAAAAUGUUGGCAACAAUCUAAGGUUUAUCAACAGCAGGAAAUGGGUUAAAAGAAUUAUGGCUCAGACCAUGGAAAGCGAGACUAAAAUAAAACAGGUGGAAAAAGUACCAAAAUCUGUCGUGAUCAUAACGGGUUGAAUUGUGACCCCCACGAAGAUAUGUCUGAGUCCUUGCGCCUGGUACCCAGGAAGGUGGCUUGAUUUGGAAGCUGGGUCUUUUUUUUUUUUUUUUUUUGAGACAGAGUCUCGCUUGCCCAGUUGCCCAGGCUAGAGUGAGUGCCGUGGCAUCAGCCUAGCUCACAGCAACCUCAAUCUCCUGGGCUCAAGCAAUCCUCUGCUCAGCCUCCCGAGUAGCUGGGACUACAGGCAUGCG
rnacentral:lncRNA from 1 species